UACGUAGGGGGCAAGCGUUGUCCGGAAUCAUUGGGCGUAAAGAGCGUGUAGGCGGCCCGGUAAGUCCGCUGUGAAAGUCCAGGGCUCAACCCUGGAAUGCCGGUGGAAACUGUCGGGCUAGAGUCCGGAAGAGGCGAGUGGAAUUCCUGGUGUAGCGGUGAAAUGCGCAGAUAUCAGGAGGAACACCAAUGGCGAAGGCAGCUCGCUGGGACGGUAUUGACGCUAAGGCGCGAAAGCGUGGGGAGCAAACAGG
rnacentral:rRNA from 1 species